UGCUGUGUUGCGCGGCAAAGCCCACAGCAUCUGCCAUUUGUCACUCAGUUGGGGCGGGGACCGCCCCAAGCCUUGAUUUAGACGCGACUGGGGCGUUCCGCAGCCUCACUCGCCUGGCAGGCGGGAGAACGCUCGCUCGGGGAGGCGCGGCCGCGGGCACCCAGCUCGCGGCGGCAAACGGAGCGGAGAGCGGGCACCUCCUGCUCGCCGUCAUGGCUGCGUAGGCUGCACCCACGGACCGCCUCGCCUGAGUCCGGCUCGGGGUGCUCCUGCCUGACUCGUACACACUGUCAUUGGCUUUUGCAUUUGCAUAGGAAUCAGAGGACUUAAUCUCGUCUCUUGUUGCAGGUUUGAGUCUUCAGACAGACUUCUAGAGGACUUCACAGCUGCCGCACUGCUGACUUUCCUGGUCACACAGAAG